rnacentral:tRNA from 1 species
UGGGGAGUCGUCUAAGGGCAGGACAGCAGAUUUUGGAUCUGCGUAUAGGGGUUCGAAUCCUCUCUCCCCAG